UAUUUUGAAGGUAACAGUUCCAUCGGAAGAUGGGAUUCAAAAGCUUAUGGCAAUUAGUUUUGAUAAGAUUUUGCCAAGCCACUGGAGAAACUUUCAUACCCUCAACAAUUUGGUUGUGGACACGUGACGGUUGUUGGACAUUUAUAGCUCGAUAUUAACG